rnacentral:rRNA from 1 species
GACGAACGCUGGCGGCGUGCUUAACACAUGCAAGUCGAACGGAAAGGCCCUGCUUUUGUGGGGUGCUCGAGUGGCGAACGGGUGAGUAACACGUGAGUAACCUGCCCUUGACUUUGGGAUAACUUCAGGAAACUGGGGCUAAUACCGGAUAGGAGCUCCUGCUGCAUGGUGGGGGUUGGAAAGUUUCGGCGGUUGGGGAUGGACUCGCGGCUUAUCAGCUUGUUGGUGGGGUAGUGGCUUACCCAGGCUUUGACGGGUAGCCGGCCUGAGAGGGUGACCGGGCACAAUGGGACUGAGAUACGGCCCAGACUCCUACGGGAGGCAGCAGGGGGGAAUAUGGCACAAUGGGCGGAAGCCUGAUGCAGCAACGCCGCGUGCGGGAUGGCGGCCUUCGGGUUGUAAACCGCUUUCGCCUGUGACGAAGCGUGAGUGACGGUAAUGGGUAAAGAAGCACCGGCUAACUACGUG